ACGCAGUUUCGCCCUAGCGACGGGGCGGGGGCGGGGCCUGCGCUGUCAAUCUGUAGGCCACGCUCCUCGCAUGUGCUGUCCGGCUGGAGAAGUGCUUUACCAGGAUUUGUUUGAACAGCGUUUUCAGUUCCUUCGGAUGCAUACGUAGUUCACUGCUGGAUCAAAGUGGUAAGUCAAUCGUUAGCCAUUUGAAGAAAUGCCAAAUUUUUUUCCAGGAUGACUACACUAUUUUACAUUCCCACCAGCAAGGUAGGAGGGUUCCAAUUUCUCCAUAUCCCUGCCAAUACUGUUAUUUUCAGAGAAAGAAAUGUUUGUUUUAUUCAUUAUUUAUUUGGCAGCACUGGGUGUUAGUUGGGGCAUGUGGGAUCUAGUUCCCUGACCAGAGGUUGAACCCAGGCUGCGUGCAUUGGAAGUUCGGAGUGUUAGCCACUGGCCUACCAGGGAAGCUCUUAUUUUAAUUGUUUUUUUAAACCAUCCCAAGUGGGUGUGAAUCAGUAUCUCACCAUGGUUUGACUCGUGGUUCUCUAAUGACUAAUGAUGUUGAAUGUCUUUUCAUGUGCUUAUUCUCCAAGCCCAUUUGUAUAUCUUCUUUGGACCUUCUCUCCUUUUUCAACAGUUGUAUUGAAGUAUAAUUUAUAUGCCAUAAAGUACACCCAUAGCAGAUAUACUUCAUAUUGUGCAGCCAUUGCCACAAUCCAGUUUUAUAACAUUUCUCUCUACCUAGAAGCUUCUUUCACGGGAAUUCCCUGGCAGUCCUGUGAUUAAGAUACCCUACUUCCACUGCAGGGGUCAUGGGUUCAAUCCCUGGUCAGGGAACUAAGAUCAGCAUGCCUCACUGUGCGGCUAAAAAAAAGUAGAUAACAGGAGAAACUUCCUUUGUGCAGUCUGUGUCCAUUUCCGCUCCAGCCCCAGCUAGUCACUGCUCUGGCGUCUGGCUGGAGGUUUACAGCCCCCUCAAUGAGGAUGGGUGGGGGACAGUGGAUCCUGGCUUCUGGCAGGACCUGCCCCAUCCAGAUGGCCUCUCUCCCUGCCUCCAACAUCCCCUUCAGCUCCCAUGGAUGGAAAAUGUGAUCUAAAGACUUGCUGGGCUUUGGGCCAAAUGUCGUUGGCUGGAACCCCUCACAGCUGGCAGGA
ensembl:lncRNA